rnacentral:rRNA from 1 species
GACGUAGGGUGCAAGCGUUGUCCGGAUUUACUGGGCGUAAAGAGCGCGUAGGCGGCUCGUUAAGUGUGAAGCUAAAUCUCUUGGCUCAACCAAGAAACUAUUUCGCAUACUGGCGGGCUGGAGUGAUGCAGAGGUGGAUAGAAUUCCCGGUGUAGCGGUGAAAUGCGUAGAGAUCGGGAGGAACACCAGUGGCGAAGGCGGCCGGCUGGGGGGUGACCUGACGCUGAGGCGCGAAAGCGUGGGGAGCAAACAGG